GGGGGGUUUUCCUUUUCAGCAGGGGCCCACCCAGUGCCGAUCACGGACCCGCACGGGUAGGCGUCUGAAAUGGAGCGCUACAUCUGUAUGUUGUAUGAUGUCCUUUUUAUUUGCUGUUGUUUUCUGUUUUCAUGUGUAACCGACUUUGCUGCAGGUGUCCCUUGACAAAUAGAUCGAUGAUCUCAAUGGGAUUCAUCUGGUUAAAUAAAGGUUUGAAAUUAAAUGACAUUUGAUGUUAGAAAUAUGAAUAUAGACUAACAAUUAUAUUGUUUGUCUGUUGUCUGUAAACCUCCAUGUCUCCUUAAAUAUCCUUGCGUUAGCGUCUCACGUGUUGUGCUCUCUUCUGACCAUAUUUGGAAGUACAACUUCCUACAGGUUCAACCUCCACUGGCCGCGGCCGCAGCUGGACCCUUCUCGUUGGCUUGUCAUUCUGGCAAGACCCGCCAGACGAGCAGCAAAUACUUUGGUUGUUCAUCAUUUCUCCUGUUUUGCAGAUGAUGUCCCACUGACACCUCCAGGUCCAGCAGCACCGUGCCCCCCCCCCCCCCCCGCUCUGCUGAAAUACACAAUUAAACAUUUUCUAUGACCUAUUUUUUGUAUUAAUAAAAUUAAACUGAAGACAGUUGAAUGACCUAGAGAUAUCCUCUUAUUCCACUGCUUAUGUACACAUGUUGGAAAUAAUCUUUAACACCUCAGUAAAUGAAAUAAACAAUGUGUUUAACAAUUAAAAUGUAAUAUUGUAUUUUCAUCUAAUCACAAAGUAGAGGUAAGAAUAUAUCCAUCCUCUCUC